GUAAGUAAGCCUAACACAUGCAAGUCGAACGGCAGCACAGAGGAGCUUGCUCCUUGGGUGGCGAGUGGCGGACGGGUGAGGAAUACAUCGGAAUCUACUCUGUCGUGGGGGAUAACGUAGGGAAACUUACGCUAAUACCGCAUACGACCUACGGGUGAAAGCAGGGGAUCUUCGGACCUUGCGCGAUUGAAUGAGCCGAUGUCGGAUUAGCUAGUUGGCGGGGUAAAGGCCCACCAAGGCGACGAUCCGUAGCUGGUCUGAGAGGAUGAUCAGCCACACUGGAACUGAGACACGGUCCAGACUCCUACGGGAGGCAGCAGUGGGGAAUAUUGGACAAUGGGCGCAAGCCUGAUCCAGCCAUACCGCGUGGGUGAAGAAGGCCUUCGGGUUGUAAAGCCCUUUUGUUGGGAAAGAAAUCCAGCUGGCUAAUACCCGGUUGGGAUGACGGUACCCAAAGAAUAAGCACCGGCUAACUUCGUGCCAGCAGCCGCGGUAAUACGAAGUG
rnacentral:rRNA from 1 species